CUGGCUCAGGACGAACGCUAGCGGCAGGCCUAAUACAUGCAAGUCGAACGGUAAGGUCUCUUCGGGGAUACACGAGUGGCGGACGGGUGCGUAACGCGUAUGCAACCUACCCUUUAGAGGGGGAUAGCCAGUGGAGACUGCGAAUAAUACCCCAUGUGUUCAUUGGUUGGCAUCAACUGAUGAAGAAAGUUCCGGCGCUUUAGGAUGGGCAUGCGUCCCAUUAGCUAGUUGGUAAGGUAACGGCUUACCAAGGCAACGAUGGGUAGCUGGUCUGAGAGGAUGAUCAGCCACACGGGCACUGAGACACGGGCCCGACUCCUACGGGAGGCAGCAGUAAGGAAUAUUGGUCAAUGGGGGCAACCCUGAACCAGCCAUGCCGCGUGGAGGAAGAAGGCCCUCUGGGUCGUAAACUGCUUUUCUGGGGGGAUAACAAUGUUCUAUACGAACAGAUGCAGGUACUACAUGAAUAAGCACCGGCUAACUACGUGCCAGCAGCCGCGGUAAUACGUAGGGUGCAAGCGUUGUCCGGAUUUAUUGGGUUUAAAGGGUGCGCAGGCGGCCUGUUAAGUUAGUGGUGAAAUCGUACGGCUCAGCCGGAUACCCGCCAUGGAUACUGGCAGACUUGAGUAUGUCUGAGGGAAUUGGAAUGCGUGGUGUAGCGGUGAAAUGCAUAGAUAUCACGCAGAACACCGAUUGCGAAGGCAGAAUUCUAUGUCAUAACUGACGCUGAGGCACGAAAGCGUGGGUAGCGAACAGGAUUAGAUACCCUGGUAGUCCACGUAGUCGAUGAUCACUAGGUGUUCGGGCUAUUGCAGUCUGAGUGCCCAAGCGAAAGCGAUAAGUGAUCCACCUGGGGAGUACGUCGGCAACGAUGAAACUCAAAGGAAUUGACGGGGGCCCGCACAAGCGGUGGAGCAUGUGGUUUAAUUCGAUGAUACGCGAGGAACCUUACCUGGACUAGAAUGCCCUUGACAGCCUGUGAAAGCAGGUUUUCCUUCGGGACAAGGUGCAAGGUGCUGCAUGGUUGUCGUCAGCUCGUGCCGUGAGGUGUUGGGUUAAGUCCCGCAACGAGCGCAACCCCUAUCUUUAGUUACCAGCGAGUUAAGUCGGGGACCUAAAGAGACUGCCUGCGCAAGCAGUGAGGAAGGUGGGGACGACGUCAAAUCAUCAUGGCCCUUACGUCCAGGGCUACACACGUGCUACAAUGGAUGGUACAACGGGUUGCGAACCUGCGAAGGUAAGCUAAUCUCUAAAAGCCAUUCUCAGUUCGGAUUGGAGUCUGCAACUCGACUCCAUGAAGCCGGAAUCGCUAGUAAUCGCGUAUCAGCUACGACGCGGUGAAUACGUUCCCGGGCCUUGUACACACCGCCCGUCAAGCCAUGGAAGCCGGGGGUACCUGACGUCGGUGGUCUAACCUCGCCUAGGGCGAAACUGUACUGGGGCUAAGUCGU
rnacentral:rRNA from 1 species